GUUUUGUUUUGUUCGACGUUUCUACGAUAUGGAGUUUCCUACGACGUGUAACAGUUGGAGAGCCUGGUCGGUUUAGUAAAUAGCAGCAGCAGUGAGAGGUUUUUGGUAAUCGUCGUCUGCUGCUGCUGUGCAUGCUGCUCCUGUUCACGACGUUGUCAAGCCAGUUUCUGCGAAACAGUUUUGCUCGAGUCACCUUGCGCAGAGCCUCUGGACCUCUGCUCUACGUUCGCACACAUACCAGAAGUCCACCACUCUACAAAGUUUUCUUGGACGCCAGAAACCCGCUGCUGCACAGCAUUCGCACAGACGUGGGGCAGCUUACACGAGCAACUGUCAUGGCCGACAACAAGUACUGUGUGGAGUAUGCGAAGCGAGGCACGGCCGGUUGCAAGAAGUGCAAGCAGAAGAUCGAGAAGGGGCUCCCGCGAAUCGCGAAGGUCGUGGCGAACCCAUUCAGCGAGGAGGGAGGCGACAUGAAGCUCUGGCAUCACGUCUCGUGCAUGUUUGAGACGUUCAUUAAAGCUCGGGCAACGACCAAAGUUAUCGAGGAUCCUGAAGACCUGGAAGGGUGGGAAAACAUGGAGCAGGCUGACAAGGACACUAUCCUGCAGCUUAUCAAAGAACGAGCGCAGCGGACGCCGAAGAAGGCAACACCAAAGAAAACGCCACAGAAGAGUAAGAAGGAUACUGAGAAUGCAGCUAGUGGUACCAAGGUUGACUCUGCACCAGCUGCCACGACACCUACACCUGCACCUGCACCAGCUCAGGCAGCAGGCAUCCCGGAGCACAAGGACAACAGCUUCAAGGCGUAUAGGCGACUCUGUGCUUUAGUGGCAGAGGAAUCCAGCUACCUUGGGAAGACGGCCCUGGUGGCCAAAUAUGUCAGCAAAGGUCGUGAUGGAGAUAGCUUCAAGGGUGACACGUAUCUCCUGAUCAAGCUGCUUUUACCUGGUCAGGUAAAGAGAGUAUAUAAUCUGCAGAAUAAACAGCUAGUGAAGCUGUUUAGCCAGAUAUUUGGUACUAGUUUGGAGGAGAUGGUAACAGACUUAGAACAGGGUGAUGUUGCAGAGACAGUUUUCAAGUUUUUUGAGCUGAGCACCACAGACAUACAGCCUGCAGCGAAAAGCACCCUGACCUUGGCUGAGGUCGAUCACUUACUUGGCCAGUUGGCAGCAGAAACCAAAGAAGAUGACCAGGAAAGAGUUCUGACCAGAAUGGCCAAAAGGAGCACUGCAAAUGAUUUGAAGAUGAUAAUACGUCUGAUUAAGCAUGACCUAAGGAUCAAUGCUGGAUCCAAGCACAUCUUGGAGGGUCUGGAUGCUAAUGCCUAUCCUGCAUUCCAAGCGUCGCGAGACCUGAGAGAUGUCGUCGAUCGAGUGUUAAAGAACCAGCGAGAGGCUCGCGAGACGGGCAAGCCGGGCAUGGCUAAGUCCAUUAGUGUCCGAGCGUCCCUGAUGACCCCCGUCCUGCCCAUGUUGGCGGAGCCGUGCAAGUCGGUCGAGUUUGCGCUGAAGCGUUGUCCGAGCGGCAUGUACUCCGAGAUCAAGUACGACGGUGAGCGUGUGCAGGUUCACAAGCAGGGCGACCGCUUCAGCUACUUCAGCCGCAGCCUGAAGCCCGUUCUCGCUCACAAGGUGCAGCAUUUCAAGGAGUUCAUUCCGCGGGCAUUUCCGCACGGCAAAGACAUGAUUCUCGAUGCAGAGGUGCUUCUCAUCGAUACGAAUACUGGGAAGCCGCUCCCGUUCGGAACGUUGGGUGUGCACAAGAAAUCUGCUUUUAAAGAUGCGGCAGUGUGCCUCUUUGUGUUUGAUUGUCUCCAUUUCAACGGGGAAAACCUGAUGGAAACACCUAUAAAGGAGCGCAGGAAAUUCUUGCAUGAUAACAUGACAGAAGUCCCCAAUCAUGUCAUGUUCUCUGAAAUGAAGUUCGUCACGACUGCAGCAGAACUUCGUGCAAUGAUCACAAGGGCUAUCAGGGAAGGACUGGAAGGUCUGGUCUUAAAAGACAUCACGAGCAUCUAUGAACCUGGCAAGAGACAUUGGCUGAAGGUGAAGAAAGACUACCUCAAUGAGGGUGCAAUGGCGGAUGCAGCUGACCUGGCCGUGCUUGGAGCUUACUAUGGAAGUGGCAGCAAAGGCGGCAUGAUGUCAGUGUUUCUCAUGGGCACCUACGACCCCCACUCUGGAAAAUGGUGUACAGUAACCAAGUGCAGCGGUGGCCAUGACGACAAGACACUAGAACGGCUAAACAAGGAGCUGCCUAUGAUCAAAAUCAGCAAGGACCAAAGCAAAGUUCCCAAAUGGUUGAAGAUCAACAAAGUCUUGAUACCGGAUUUCGUCAUAUCAGACCCCAAGGUGGCGCCGGUGUGGGAGAUCGUAGGAGCAGAGUUCAGCAAGUCGGAGAGUCACACGGCGGAUGGCAUCUCCAUCCGUUUUCCGAGGGUGACCAGAAUUCGCGAUGACAAGGAUUGGGAGACGGCCACCAAUCUCAACCAACUCAGGGACCUAUUUGAGAAGUCGAAGGAGACAUCAGACAUUGCUGAUCUCUUCUCACCGGGUACAAAGAAGAAGCCAUCCGGCAACGACGACGAUGAUGACGAUGAUGCGGGACGUGGGAUGCAAGGAUCGGACGUUGGCAGCAGUGCCUCCAGUAGUAGAACCUCCACUCCUGCUGCUUCUCCACUCAAGCGGAAGAUCAAGGAGGAUCCGGAAUCCAUUUCCAAAAAGAAGCGGAAAUUAGAAGGCGAAACCACAAACGAAACAUCGCCAAUGAAGAAGCGAACCCCUGAGAAAAAGCAGAGGUCCGAGAAAAGCCACAAGCACGGUUCGUCCGUCAAAUUGAGUGAAGUCGAUAAGCAAAUAUGACGGAGAUGUGGUGACAGAGUUUAUGAGUGACACAGCUACGCACAUCGUAGGACAAGCGGUUGGCACGGAGGGAGAGG
rnacentral:misc_RNA from 1 species